rnacentral:lncRNA from 1 species
AGACCCCCCCAGCAAGAUUCCAAGAUCCAAGAAGUCCAUUUGUGUUUACAGCCAUCACAAACAAGGCUCUGGCAUUUUUAUGUGGUGAAUGACUACAAGCUAAAAGUCAAGUGAGAAAGGCACUGGUGGAGAAAUGAAACACAGACUCAAUAAAAUAGGGCCCAUUAAAAGUGUGACCGUCAUUACAAUGGACCACAGCUGGGGGUGUGGACAAUGACCUUCUGAAGACCCGGAAAAUACUAAGCUGUCAAGAGGAUCUGAUGUCUCGGAACUCUGGUUAAACAGAAGACUGGGCAGUUAGUUAUGGCUGCAUGAAUGGUGCCUCUUCAGAAGUCCGCAGAAGGAUAGCCAUUCUACUAGGAAAGAUGGGUCCUGACGGGUUGGUAUUCUGGAAGCAACAUUUUGGAAGGCCAAGGACAUGUCAGCUCUUAGGACUGCACGGAAGAGAGUCAGUCCUUGUUAUCACCAUUGGAUCCCAGCGGCUCUUUCAUCUCAGACUUGUGAAAGCAGCUUCUCCUCCUGAGUUCUGCCCCAGUUUCUUAAUGGGCCAAGGAAGGGAGAUGUUGAUGGAACUCACAGAUGUGGUUAGACCUCCCCAGCAGCAGUCUGGUCAGAGGUCAGCUGGUCUCUUUCCAGUAACAGGUGGCCCUUGGCCUCUAUUUCUCAAGAGAGCUUGAAUCAAGAGACAUUCAGG